GCUGCGGUUGGGAAUACAAGAGGUCAUGUAACAAGUCAUAUCCCAACAAGUGGUGGUCGUGAGUUAUCACAGGCCCCAUCUCCAGCCUGCGAAGAUGGCUCAACGAUAUGUGCUGAUCACGACGGUGCCGGAAUUGCAAUACUGGAAGUCAGAAUUGCUUCUGAUGUUGUGCUGAGCUUCAGUUAGUAUCAUAACCUCCACCACUCCGUGAAGCGCAAGGGGCCAAGCUUGCGGGUUUAAUUGAGAUCCAAACGACUAGCCCAAUUGAUGCAAAAGGUAUUUGGACCAGGAAUUCAUGGUGCCUCCUUGAAAAAAGAC
rnacentral:sRNA from 2 species